rnacentral:rRNA from 1 species
AAGUUUGAUGCAGCGAUGCCGCGUGCAGUGAUGAAGGCCUUAGGGCUGUAAAGCUCUUUUAACAAGGACGAAAAUGAC